GUCAACUACCUCGGCCUAAAGGCCGAGGCUUGAAAAAGCCUCUAGUUGACUAGCCUCAGGCCGUCGUUUGGCGGUCUACGUUGGUUGAGAAUCUAGGCACCGCGGGAUGCCGAUCCUAGUCCCGCGCUCUGC
rnacentral:sRNA from 1 species